GACGAACGCUGGCGGCGUGCUUAACACAUGCAAGUCGAACGGAAAGGCCCUGCUUUUGUGGGGUGCUCGAGUGGCGAACGGGUGAGUAACACGUGAGUAACCUGCCCUUGACUUUGGGAUAACUUCAGGAAACUGGGGCUAAUACCGGAUAGGAGCUCCUGCUGCAUGGUGGGGGUUGGAAAGUUUCGGCGGUUGGGGAUGGACUCGCGGCUUAUCAGCUUGUUGGUGGGGUAGUGGCUUACCAAGGCUUUGACGGGUAGCCGGCCUGAGAGGGGGACCGGCCACAUUGGGACUGAGAUACGGCCCAGACUCCUACGGGAGGCAGCAGUGGGGAGUAUUGCACAAUGGGCGGAAGCCUGAUGCAGCAACGCCGCGUGCGGGAUGACGGCCUUCGGGUUGUGAACCGCUUUCGCCUGUGACGAAGCGUGAGUGACGGUAAUGGGUAAAGAAGCACCGGCUAACUACGUG
rnacentral:rRNA from 1 species